CUCCUUCUAGCGAGGGAGGAAGCGGACGCAACACCCUCGUGCCUGGGCUGCAGCGGCCGGGUACCGUGGAGGCCUCUGGGGGUUGCAGUUCUUGGAGGAAGCAGAGGCAGUGACUGCCUGCUGGACCAAGCUUGGCUGGUCUCUCUGUACGUCUUCCCAGACCUUACCAGAGAAUCACAACCAGGGAAGAAAUCCUCUCAAGGCGAAAAUCAACCAUUUGCCUUCCCAAUAAGCAGUUCCUGGGAUAUAGGGGACGGGGAGAAGAAAGAAAAAGGAGAUUAUCCAGCCAAUGGGGCUAAACAAGGGAACUGACCUCAGUAGGAGAGAUGAUCACUGUGCGUUCAUUUAUACUAAUAGCCAGACUGCUGCCAGGUAUUUGGUUCUACAGUUGCUGGUCCAGGGAUCGAACUUGGGACCUUGUGCUUCUGAGGCAGGCAGUGGAACCACUGAGCUAAAUCCCCAGCCCUGGACAACUUUUUUUUAAACAUUUGUUCUGCACACUCACCUGAUCUCAAGAAUUCUCCAAGUCCCUGCUGCUCAUGCUCCUGUUGAUCCAGAAUCACUACCAUCAUUAGCAAAUCAUUUUAUGAAAAAAAUGUAAUCUAAAAUACAUUCUUGUUGGAAUACAGCAAAUUAAUGUAA